CGACCAGGUAUAACGACAGUUCACUGAACUUUUCAAUUCGUAUAUUUUUUCUGGUUCAUGGAUAAACGAAUCUAUUCUAUGGAGAAACAUGGACUAACGAUGGACAAAUGAUGAUGUACUUUCACUUUCACGAAAAUUCGGACACCUGGAUCCAUGACAUCAAAUGAGCAGGAAAAGUACGUUAAUUUUACGAAUUAUAGAAUCUCACAAUUUGGUUAUUGAAAUGCACUUAUAGAAGAGCAAAAAAACAUCCACCCAACAUCAUUCAUCUAAAAACAUUCUUCAAAAUAUCCUAUUCAAUUUCUAACUGACAGCAUAGGCUCCACUGAGUCAACUUAAAAUGAAAAUUUUAUACAAAAGUGUAGUUUCACAUCAUAAAGAAACUAAGAUGAUGAUGUAGUUUAUUAUCAAACAUACAUACUAUGUGUCACCAGAAUUAACUCCUCCUGUCUGAACUAAUAUUUACAAAAGAUAUGCUAUUAAAACUAUGUGUCAUA